GGGAGGGACUGAAGGACUUAGAACUCAGAAUUUCAUUGCUGAAAGGGACUUCAGAGAUAAUCUAAUUCAAACUUCUUUCUUAGAUAAAGAAACUGAGAAAAUUUUUUUUUCUUCAAGGUCAUACAGGUUUCCUACCUCCUUCGCCUUGAGGUCUCUACAUUACCGGCGAUAAAGGAGCUACUUACACACAACUAAUUAUUAGAAUCAGCAAACAACUGAUUAAAAUCUAUUUUAAAAAUGGAUUCCAACUCCUCAGAGGGCUUGCAUAGAGAGGUGACAACAUGUCUUUUCAUGACCAUCCAAAGAAUCCCUUGGCAAUAAGUCCUUUCUCUUACGUCUUCCUCUGCCUAUGCAAAGGUCCAUGCUCAGAAGAGGGGAAGGUACAAAGGCAAAGAAGAAUGGAUCCCUGUUCUCUUGGAGUAUGGAAGAUUACAUGUGGGUCCAGGUGAAAAUUUUAGAAUAUGGCAAACACACAAGAAAAAUACAAAUUCCAUUUAUGUAAAGGGAAAAUGACUACUCUCUUCUCAGACCAUCUCCUGUACAACUUUCUCAACAGAUACCCUGGGUUCUAUUCUCUUGAUUAUUUCCUGCCUUUCAUGGAAUAUUAUUUCUGGAAAGCUACAGUCAUAUUUAAUUCACUACCUUCUCCAUAGCCUCUCUUGGCUAACUCUGUCAUACUUUACAAAGUUGGUGUACUCUUCCCCUCUCACCCAUAUCUGGAACCCCAGACCAUGCAUGAUCAAAUCAACUCUGUUAUUGUUCUAGGAUGGGCUGUGUCAUUUUGCUCACCUAUAGGGUCCCCUUUACCCCUUCAGUAACAAUUUAGGUCAAAAGUGCUCUUCUCUGGUCAUUUACUCCCAAUUAUAUAUUGUUUUUCU